rnacentral:pre_miRNA from 1 species
AGUAGGGUAGCUGGAUCAGAUGGUGGUUCCAUUUCAAGUUUUCUGAGGAAUCUCCAUACUGCUUUCCAGAGUGGUUGCACCAAUUUGUAGUCCCACCAGCAAU